rnacentral:lncRNA from 1 species
GUUGUGAAGUUUCCGGGCUGUUCUGUCCCUUCUGUUUCUUGACUCUGAGUGGCCUGAGUUGUCGAAGGCUUUCAUGUCCGGAAUUGCUGAGUUACUAACUGGACCAGUAGAAAUAAUGAUCAAUGGAAACCAAGGCAGCUGAAACAGCCACGAUCAAGAUGAUUGCAUCUUUCACAACUGAAUCUGAAAUUAGAGAUCCUUAUGGUUACAGACCUGCUCUCCAAUGCAUGUAUUUGCUGAAGGGGAAAGUUCGGAACUUCAUGUGAAUACACAAAAUUUCAGAUAUCAACCCUAUUGAAAUGAAGGUUUUGUGGCUCAAGAAUACAAGUCAUGCCAGAGGACCUAGCGAAUGGCGAGAGAAGUCAUAUGUCAACCAUGGAUAAAUGAAACUGCAUGUACAGACACAGCGGUCAUACUGUAUAUGUAUAUAUAUUGUCAAUAUAAGCCUGUCUGGACCUUGAGAUCUUCAAGAAAGGAUUUUGUUUAGUCUCAUCUCUUUGAAUUCUGUGGUUGCCCACAGGCUCUAGAACUUCACCUAUAUUAGGGAUGGAUCUUUUUUCAUUGCAGUCUUUCCAUCAGCAGAUAUAGGUGUGUGUUUUAAUUAUUCUGAAAGUCUUUUAGACCUGAAGAUUUUUAAGGAAAUAACUGUAUGAAGAUAUUGAAUUGUCUGAAAUUAUUUUACUGUUUUUAUUUUUUUAUCAAUUUAAGUGUCUCUUUCAAAUUAUUUUUGUACAGUUAAGAAUUCUACUUUAAUGUUGAUGUUUAGUAUGAUUUUGAUCUGUAUUCUUACUGUUUUAAUUUCCAAGCUGAUUUGAAUCCCUAUCUUGGGGGGAAGGGAAGAGGAUAAAGUUGUUCUUAUUAUUUAAAUUAAAUUUGUGUGUGUGUGUAGAAUUAAAGGUGACACAAAAAUGCAGCAAUUUCCAUUUAAGGUAAGAGAGAAAUCCACAAUUUGAUACACAUCUGAGUCAGAACAUGGGAUUUCAACAAGCUUGUUUUGACCUUUCACACAUCCCUACUCUCAGUGAGGAUAACAUUUCCAAAUGCAUUUUAGUUGCAUUGACCUGACACCUUGCCCUAAAGCUGACCUGCCAUAUCCAUGGAUUCUCCACCCACAAAUCCGACCAUUCAUGAGUUGAUUUCUUCUAAUCCAAAAAGCACACCUUGUAUUUGCUAUUUUAUAUAAGGCACAUCAUUUUACUAUGCCCUUGUAUAUUAUGGGACUUGAGGCUAAAACCUUUUUAUUCAGAAAGGCUUUUAAAGAUUAAGGUGUUUAGAAUCUAGUCAGGGGUGCUAUGGUUUUUAAUUCUGAAUAUGUUUUGAUGAAUUUGAACCAUGAAUUUUUAGUGCUG